rnacentral:rRNA from 1 species
UUAAUCGGGGCAGGGUGAGUCGACCCCUAAGGCGAGGCCGAAAGGCGUAGUCGAUGGGAAACAGGUUAAUAUUCCUGUACUUGGUGUUACUGCGAAGGGGGGACGGAGAAGGCUAUGUUGGCCGGGCGACGGUUGUCCCGGUUUAAGCGUGUAGGUGUGUGUUCCAGGUAAAUCCGGUUCACUUUAACACUGAGGCGUGAUGACGAGGCACUACGGUGCUGAAGCAACAAAUGCCCUGCUUCCAGGAAAAGCCUCUAAGCAUCAGGUAACAUCAAAUCGUACCCCAAACCGACACAGGUGGUCAGGUAGAGAAUACCAAGGCGCUUGAGAGAACUCGGGUGAAGGAACUAGGCAAAAUGGUGCCGUAACUUCGGGAGAAGGCACGCUGACACGUAGGUGAAGUGAUUUACUCAUGGAGCUGAAGUCAGUCGAAGAUACCAGCUGGCUGCAACUGUUUAUUAAAAACACAGCACUGUGCAAACACGAAAGUGGACGUAUACGGUGUGACGCCUGCCCGGUGCCGGAAGGUUAAUUGAUGGGGUCAGCGCAAGCGAAGCUCCUGAUCGAAGCCCCGGUAAACGGCGGCCGUAACUAUAACGGUCCUAAGGUAGCGAAAUUCCUUGUCGGGUAAGUUCCGACCUGCACGAAUGGCGUAAUGAUGGCCAGGCUGUCUCCACCCGAGACUCAGUGAAAUUGAACUCGCUGUGAAGAUGCAGUGUACCCGCGGCAAGACGGAAAGACCCCGUGAACCUUUACUAUAGCUUGACACUGAACAUUGAGCCUUGAUGUGUAGGAUAGGUGGGAGGCUUUGAAGCGUGGACGCCAGUCUGCGUGGAGCCGACCUUGAAAUACCACCCUUUAAUGUUUGAUGUUCUAACGUGGACCCGUUACCCGGGUUGCGGACAGUGUCUGGUGGGUAGUUUGACUGGGGCGGUCUCCUCCUAAAGAGUAACGGAGGAGCACGAAGGUUGGCUAAUCCUGGUCGGACAUCAGGAGGUUAGUGCAAUGGCAUAAGCCAGCUUGACUGCGAGCGUGACGGCGCGAGCAGGUGCGAAAGCAGGUCAUAGUGAUCCGGUGGUUCUGAAUGGAAGGGCCAUCGCUCAACGGAUAAAAGGUACUCCGGGGAUAACAGGCUGAUACCGCCCAAGAGUUCAUAUCGACGGCGGUGUUUGGCACCUCGAUGUCGGCUCAUCACAUCCUGGGGCUGAAGUAGGUCCCAAGGGUAUGGCUGUUCGCCAUUUAAAGUGGUACGCGAGCUGGGUUUAGAACGUCGUGAGACAGUUCGGUCCCUAUCUGCCGUGGGCGCUGGAGAACUGAGGGGGGCUGCUCCUAGUACGAGAGGACCGGAGUGGACGCAUCACUGGUGUUCGGGUUGUCAUGCCAAUGGCACUGCCCGGUAGCUAAAUGCGGAAGAGAUAAGUGCUGAAAGCAUCUAAGCACGAAACUUGCCCCGA